AGAGUUUGAUCCUGGCUCAGGAUGAACGCUGACAGAAUGCUUAACACAUGCAAGUCGACUGGAAUUCUUCUUCGGAAGAUAGUACGGUGGCGGACGGGUGAGUAACGCGUAAAGAAUUUGCCCUUCAGACUGGGACAACUAAUCGAAAGGUUAGCUAAUACCGGAUAUUAUGAGACCUCGGCAUCGAGAACUUAUGAAAGCUAUAUGCGCUGGAGGAGAACUUUGCGUUCCAUUAGCUAGUUGGUAGGGUAAUGGCCUACCAAGGCGACGAUGGAUAGCCGGCCUGAGAGGGUGAACGGCCACAAGGGGACUGAGACACGGCCCUUACUCCUACGGGAGGCAGCAGUGGGGAAUAUUGGACAAUGGACCAAAAGUCUGAUCCAGCAAUUCUGUGUGCACGAUGAAGGUCUUCGGAUUGUAAAGUGCUUUCAGGUGGGAAGAAGAAAGUGACGGUACCACCAGAAGAAGCGACGGCUAAAUACGUGCCAGCAGCCGCGGUAAUACGUAUGUCGCAAGCGUUAUCCGGAAUUAUUGGGCGUAAAGCGAGUCUAGGCGGCUUGUUAAGUCAGAUGUGAAAAUGCGGGGCUCAACUCCGUAUUGCGUUUGAAACUGGCAGGCUAGAGUACUGGAGAGGUGGGCGGAACUACAAGUGUAGAGGUGAAAUUCGUAGAUAUUUGUAGGAAUGCCGAUAGUGAAGACAGCUCACUGGACAGAUACUGACGCUAAAGCUCGAAAGCGUGGGGAGCGAACAGGAUUAGAUACCCUGGUAGUCCACGCCGUAAACGAUGUUCACUGGGUGUAGGGGGUCGAACCUCUGUGCCGAAGCUAACGCGAUAAGUGAACCGCCUGGGGAGUACGCACGCAAGUGUGAAACUCAAAGGAAUUGACGGGGACCCGCACAAGCGGUGGAGCAUGUGGUUUAAUUCGACGCAACGCGAGGAACCUUACCAGCACUUGACAUACAACGAACUCGUCAGAGAUGACUUGGUGCCGCUUCGGUGGAACGUUGAUACAGGUGGUGCAUGGCUGUCGUCAGCUCGUGUCGUGAGAUGUUGGGUUAAGUCCCGCAACGAGCGCAACCCCUAUCGUAUGUUACCAUCAUUAGAUGCUGGGCACUCUAGAGGGACUGCCGGUGGUAAGCCGGAGGAAGGUGGGGAUGACGUCAAGUCCUCAUGGCCCUUACACCCAGGGCUACACACGUGCUACAAUGGCCGGUACAGAGAGCAGCAAUACGGCGACGU
rnacentral:rRNA from 1 species